rnacentral:rRNA from 1 species
UUGGGCACUCUAAAGUGACUGCCGGUGCAAGCCGGAGGAAGGUGGGGAUGACGUCAAAUCAUCAUGCCCCUUAUGACCUGGGCUACACACGUGCUACAAUGGAUAGUACAAAGGGUCGCGAAGCCGCGAGGUGGAGCUAAUCCCAUAAAACUAUUCUCAGUUCGGAUUGUAGGCUGCAACUCGCCUACAUGAAGCCGGAAUCGCUAGUAAUCGUGGAUCAGCAUGCCACGGUGAAUACGUUCCCGGGCCUUGUACACACCGCCCGUCACACCACGAGAGUUUGUAACACCCGAAGUCGGUAGGGUAACCUUUAUGGAGCCAGCCGCCGAAGGUGGGACAGAUAAUUGGGGUGAAGUCGUAACAAGGUAGCCGUAUCGGAAGGUGCGGCUGGAUCACCUCCUUUCUAAGGAA